rnacentral:rRNA from 1 species
AUUGAACGCUGGCGGCAUGCUUUACACAUGCAAGUCGGACGGCAGCAUAGAAGAGCUUGCUCUUUUGAUGGCGAGUGGCGAACGGGUGAGUAAUGCAUCGGAACGUACCGAGUAGUGGGGGAUAACUGUCCGAAAGGAUGGCUAAUACCGCAUAUUCUCUGAGGAGGAAAGCAGGGGACCUUAGGGCCUUGCGCUAUUUGAGCGGCCGAUGUCUGAUUAGCUAGUUGGUGGGGUAAGAGCCCACCAAGGCGACGAUCAGUAGCGGGUCUGAGAGGAUGAUCCGCCACACUGGGACUGAGACACGGCCCAGACUCCUACGGGAGGCAGCAGUGGGGAAUUUUGGACAAUGGGCGCAAGCCUGAUCCAGCCAUGCCGCGUGUAUGAAGAAGGCCUUCGGGUUGUAAAGUACUUUUGUCAGGGAAGAAAAGCCUGGGGAUAACACCCUCAGGUCAUGACGGUACCUGAAGAAUAAGCACCGGCUAACUACGUGCCAGCAGCCGCGGUAAUACGUAGGGUGCGAGCGUUAAUCGGAAUUACUGGGCGUAAAGCGAGCGCAGACGGUUAUUUAAGCAAGAUGUGAAAGCCCCGGGCUCAACCUGGGAACUGCGUUUUGAACUGGGUAACUAGAGUGUGUCAGAGGGGGGUUGAAUUCCACGUGUAGCAGUGAAAUGCGUAGAGAUGUGGAGGAAUACCGAUGGCGAAGUGCGGCCCCCCUGGGAGAACACUGACGUUCAUGCUCCGAAGCGUGGGUAGCAAACAGG